GGUAAGGUGGCCGCCGAUGGUUCCAGCCCGUGUGAUGCGGCUGGAUGAAAAGGGAACAGGGUGAAGCGCACGUCGCCAAUGCCCUGGCUGCCCCCGCAACUGUAAACGGUGAGCGAAGCCCAGAUGCCACUGACUGCAAGGUCGGGAAGGCGGGCGCAGUGUCAAGCCGUGAGCCAGGAGACCUGCCAUCGAAGCCGGGCGUUUA
rnacentral:ncRNA from 1 species